rnacentral:rRNA from 1 species
GCAAGUCGAACGGCAGCACGGGGCAACCUGGUGGCGAGUGGCGAACGGGUGAGUAAUGUAUCGGAACGUGCCCAGUAGCGGGGGAUAACUACGCGAAAGCGUAGCUAAUACCGCAUACGCCCUACGGGGGAAAGGGGGGGAUCGCAAGACCUCUCACUAUUGGAGCGGCCGAUAUCGGAUUAGCUAGUUGGUGAGGUAAAGGCUCACCAAGGCUUCGAUCCGUAGCUGGUUUGAGAGGACGACCAGCCACACUGGGACUGAGACACGGCCCAGACUCCUACGGGAGGCAGCAGUGGGGAAUUUUGGACAAUGGGGGCAACCCUGAUCCAGCAAUGCCGCGUGUGCGAAGAAGGCCUUCGGGUUGUAAAGCACUUUUGGCGGGAACGAAACGGUGCCGGAUAAUACCUGGCGCCACUGACGGUACCCGCAGAAUAAGCACCGGCUAACUACGUGCCAGCAGCCGCGGUAAUACGUAGGGUGCAAGCGUUAAUCGGAAUUACUGGGCGUAAAGCGUGCGCAGGCGGUUCGGAAAGAAAGAUGUGAAAUCCCAGGGCUCAACCUUGGAACUGCAUUU